AGAGCGAACGCUGGCGGCAUGCUUAACACAUGCAAGUCGCACGGCUGGGGUAACCCAGCAGUGGCGGACGGGUGAGUAACGCGUAGGUAUCUAUCUCCGGGUGGGGGACAACUGUGGGAAACUACAGCUAAUACCGCAUGAUGCCCGAGGGCCAAAAGCAGCAAAUGCGCCUGGAGAGGAGCCUGCGUACGAUUAGCUUGUUGGCGGGGUAAUGGCCCACCAAGGCGACGAUCGUUAGC
rnacentral:rRNA from 1 species